CUUCUUUUUCUCUCGCCUCUCUCUCUAUUUUUAGCAAAAGCAUAGAGGAAGAGGUUCCGGAUUGCUGCAGUACAUAGAAAUAUGUCUCUUUCGACAAUAUGUUGGAUCGGAGAUGUCCGGGAGGAGAAGCAUACACCGGCGACUUCAAUCAUCAUUGUAAACGCCUUGAAGAACGUAAAAUUUCAAGGGCCUAAGUUUAUGAGUCAAGGUUUGAAGACUCAGAAGACGUGGUUCAGAGAACAAUGAUGAUGAACCACCGAAAUGGAUGAGUUUCCGGUCUCUGCUGGUAUUCUCCAUGUUUUUCCAAGUCUUUUUGAUUGUCUAUGGAGAAUGGCAAGAUGCUCUCAUGGAGGUUCGGUACAUUGAUGUUGAUUACAUUGUUUUUUUUUAAUGCUGCUUUGUUGAUGGCAUCUGGUGAAUCUCCUUACAAGAGAACCACAUACCGAUAUUCGCCUUUGCUAAACAAUGUCUAACUCCUAAUUCUUUCUUUCAUUGGUCACUUGGAAAGUUUCUCUUCUUAGCUUCUGAUUUGUUUGAUGAUUUGUUCUUUGGUCAUUCUGAAUUUUAUUUUCAUGUUUCAUAUUUGUGGGUAGGCUAUCCUUACUAUUUUGAAAGAACGUAAGGUGCCUGAGAAGAUAUGUACAUACAUUAUUCUGUAAUGGUUUGGCUUUUCAAUCCGUUUACAUUCA